AUACGUAGGGAGCGAGCGUUGUCCGGAAUUACUGGGCGUAAAGGGCGCGUAGGCGGCGCUUCAAGUCGUCUGUCAAAUGGGAGGGCUUAACCCUUUUUCGCAGACGAAACUGGAGAGCUUGAGAAGCAGAGAGGCAAACAGAAUUCCUGGUGUAGCGGUGAAAUGCGUAGAUAUCAGGAAGGAUACCAGUGGCGAAGGCGGUUUGCUGGCUGCAUACUGACGCUGAAGCGCGAAAGCCAGGGGAGCGAACGGGAUUAGAUACCCCGGUAGUCCUGGCAGUAAACGAUGUAUGCUGGGUGUGAGACUAGCGAUAGUUUCGUGCCGAAGUUAACGCAAUAAGCAUACCGCCUGGGGAGUACGGUCGCAAGAUUGAAACUCAAAUGAAUUGACGGGG
rnacentral:rRNA from 1 species